CGUCAGCGCGUCGGCACCUUGGCUCUAGACUGCUUACUGCUACGUAGCGUGAGAGACACAGUAACAGUCUACAGUCAUGGCUACUGAAGCAUGAC
rnacentral:pre_miRNA from 11 species